GAUUAUUCAUGAUGAUCUAAAUCUUACCUACAUUAUUUGAUGUGAAAUGAAACAUUCUUUUAAUUUUCUGAGAUUAUC